rnacentral:rRNA from 1 species
GACGAACGCUGGCGGCGUGCUUAACACAUGCAAGUCGAACGGGCCCGCUCUCUUUUUUGGGGGUGGGUUGAGUGGCGAACGGGUGAGUAUCACGUGAGUAACCUGCCCCCUGCUCCUGGAUAACUGCUUGAAAGGGCGGCUAAUACGGGGUGUGCCGGCUGGUCCGCAUGGGCCUGGUCGGGAUAGUUUCAUCUUCGGGUGUUUCGGUGGGGGAUGGGCUCGCGGCCUAUCAGCUUGUUGGUGGGGUGAUGGCCCACCAAGGCGGUGACGGGUAGCCGGCCUGAGAGGGUGGGCGGCCACACUGGGACUGAGACACGGCCCAGACUCCUGCGGGAGGCAGCAGUGGGGGGUAUUACACAAUGGGCGGAAGCCGGAUGCAGCGACGUCGCGUGAGGGAUGGAGGCCUUCGGGUUGUGAACCUCUUUCUCCGGUGGUGAAGGCCCUGUCCGUUGCGGCGGGGUUGACGGUAGCCGGGUAUGAAGCGCCGGCUAACUACGUG